UGCCAGCAGCCGCGGUAAUACGUAGGGUGCUAGCGUUGUUCGGAAUUACUGGGCGUAAAGCGCAUGUAGGCGGCCGAUUAAGUCAGAUGUGAAAGCCCUGGGCUCAACCCGGGACGUGCAUCUGAUACUAAUUGGCUUGAGUACAGGAGAGGGUAGUGGAAUUUCUGGUGUAGUGGUGAAAUACGUAGAUAUCAGAAGGAACAUCGGUGGCGAAGGCGGCUGCCUGGCCUUGUACUGACGCUGAGAUGCGAAAGCGUGGGGAGCAAACAGGAUUAGAUA
rnacentral:rRNA from 1 species